rnacentral:rRNA from 1 species
UACGGAGGGUCCAAGCGUUAUCCGGAAUCAUUGGGUUUAAAGGGUCCGUAGGCGGUUUUGUAAGGCAGUGGUGAAAGCCCAUCGCUCAACGGUGGAACGGCCAUUGAUACUGCAAGACUUGAAUUAUUAGGAAGUAACUAGAAUAUGUAGUGUAGCGGUGAAAUGCUUAGAGAUUACAUGGAAUACCAAUUGCGAAGGCAGGUUACUACUAAUGGAUUGACGCUGAUGGACGAAAGCGUGGGGAGCGAACAGG